GUGGCCACUAGGGUAGCAGCUCACAGCGCUGCCGCAGCAAUGUGCUAUCCGAUCGAUCGAUCUUGGUCUCGGGUUUAGCUUCUAGAGGCUUCCGGCUUCUCCACAGCUAGUGGUUUCUUCCUCCGGCCUAUGGCACCGCUAGAAAAUCCUCCAAACUGACUCAGCCCAGAUUUAGGAGCAGCAAGAGAUUGCACGAAAGAUCUUGCGUUGGGAGCUCGACCGCAAUUCUGCCUAGCUGCUCUAUCGAAGAUUUGCAAGUCGAGCGUUCAAACAGAGUGCUCAAGAGAUUGAGCUCCGUCCAUAAAUUCAAUCCUUUCUGGGCUCCGACCAAUGUGAUGCCGCGAUUCAAAUUUCUGGCGCUUGGUGCCUCAACAUGGCUUAUGCACAACAAGGGAACUCUUUUGAUUAUAUAUACACAUUUGUGGGCUCAGCUGGAGGCAUUUACAAUAUACAAAUUGAUUUCCUUGU